UUGUACCUUUCAAAGUUCGCUUUGCAAUAGCGGCUACUUAUUUUAUUUAUUUAAUUUUUUACUUUAAGAACCUAAUUUCCUGUGCUCCGAGGGCGAAUGUCCAAGGGCGGAUUUAGGUUUUGUAGGGGGAGGGGAAGAGUAGCCAAAUGGGAAGGGGGGUUAUUUCUAUUUCCAUCCACAUCACAAAUGUGAUAGCCCAAUAAAAGACCUUUAAACUUUCGAACUUCCCCUCUCCCGCAGAUAAACAAGGGUGUCCAUAAAUAGGCAACAUCAUAUCCGGAAUCUAUCUGAAUGGCGCCGAUUGUAGGGUCAAAUAGUGUAGCUACGUCAACCUAUUUUAUUCAGCGUCUACCAAGAGAACCAUAGCUCAUCAUACAGAAAAAUAAAGCUCAGUGCUGUAUUCAAGACCAAGAGAAAAUAGACUAAAUGUGCUUUUAUUUGCCUAAGGAUUUUUAAUCUGAAAAGUGUUUCUGCUGAAUCAAUUAAACAUUGUUUUUAAAUCGACCAAUUCAUUUUAAAAAGUUAGAUAGGAAAUCUAAGAGUACGCGGUAUUUCGAAAAUAGAUCCUGUCAGUAUCUCCGGAUCCAGGAAUAUCCCCUACAAUAGUUUACAGCCUUUAGAUCCUUUUGACAGCCAGCCAAUGAGCAUCAGAAACUUUCAAAUGCGUGCCUUCAGGCAUGGCCCACAAAGCAAUGUCAUGUUUAAGAAUGAUUUUUAAAAGAUAACUUUGGCUUUUAAAAGCAGCUGAAACCCCAAAUAGGAAUCCUUUUCACCUGUCAUGCUGUCAAAGAAGUUAAACCGAUUCCCCAAAGAACGGAUGUAUUAGAAGCUGUAUUAAAAUUUGUUCUUUCAAAAAGUUGUUGGUUUUGAUGAUUAAAGUAAAACACCCAUGGUAACCCAGUUGGGUUGUUGAAAGAGUAUAAUAAAUGUAUAUAACACCUAGAGGUUCGCAGGGAAACUGGAGGCUUUACAUCCAAUUAAUUUGGAAUUAAUACAAUUUUAGUCCAACGAACAAGCAGUGUUUUUCUACUGUUAUCUUCGUUAGAAAAAAAUUAAUUCAGGAUAUUUAUUUUAACCAGAUUUGUGACGUAUUUAGGUUCGCUCAUCCCAACUCUGUUAGAUCAUUCUACACUCGCCGUUAACCUGGGCUACCUGUGUUGGACCGUGAAACUUCCCUAUUUAACAAAGAAUAAUUAGUUCGCAUGAGCGAGUGGGAGUGAUUCGCCAAAAAGAUCUAUUCUCGGAAGCUUGUUACCGGGAAGCAGGAAGCCCUUACGCCUGUUACAGCGCUUGUUAAAAUCCCGCAUUCAUCGGGAUAAUGCGUUACAAAUAUCGGCUUACCAAAAUGAUUGAUUGAACAAUGUCCUAUUAAAAGCUUGAGAUGGUAUAAAAGGCCUACAAUACUUGUUAAGUACGAUCUUUCAUUAUAAGAGGACGCAGUAGAUUUGUUCUUUUCAGAGAAGAUGAAGGGAGUUUUGCUUAUAGCAGUGUUCCUGGCUGUCACUAUGGUUUCUUUCAAAGAAGUCGCCAGUAUUCACGUACUGUGGCCCCCCUUCACCAAGAGGCAGGCGAGCACGGUAGAAGUGGAAUCAAGGAACGCUAUUUGUUGGCUGGCAAGAAGACUGGAAUGUGCAGAACCCAUGCGUGUUAGUGUCGAGAGAAGGAGAUAACUGGAAUACAGGAAAAAAAGCACACGCCGGAAAAGAGACUGUUAGCUUUACUCCAAUUUUCAUGCAAUUGAAAUUUGGAAUAAAAUGGAAAUCAGCUUAAAAUAAUCUCUGUAGUAUUUCUUAUGGGUAAGAUAUCAAACAUCCGUCAAAAACAAAACGAAAAAAUAAACGAAAAGAAAAAACAGAAUAAAGUAACGGAUACAAAAAAAA